rnacentral:rRNA from 1 species
AGAGUUUUGAACCUGGCUCAGGAUGAAAGCNGAAGGGAUGCUUACCAUGCAGUCGACGGAAUCUUCGGAUUUAGUGGCGGACGGGUGAGUAACGCGUGAGAAUCUAGCUCUAGGUCGGGGACAACCACUGGAAACGGUGGCUAAUACCGGAUGUGCCGAAAGGUGAAAGAUUAAUUGCCUAGAGAUGAGCUCGCGUCUGAUUAGCUAGUUGGUGUGGNAAGAGCGCACCAAGGCGACGANCAGNAGCNGGNCNGAGAGGANGANCAGCCACACUGGGACNGAGACACGGCCCAGACNCCNACGGGAGGCAGCAGUGGGGAAUUUUCCGCAAUGGCGAAAGCCUGACGGAGCAAUACCGCGUGAGGGAGGAGGCUCUUGGGUUGUAAACCUCUUUUCUCAGGGAAUAAGAAAGUGAAGGUACCUGAGGAAUAAGCAUCGGCUAACUCCGUGCCAGCAGCCGCGGUAAUACGGAGGAUGCAAGCGUUAUCCGGAAUGAUUGGGCGUAAAGCGUCCGCAGGUGGCACUGUAAGUCUGCUGUUAAAGAGCAAGGCUCAACCUUGUAAAGGCAGUGGAAACUACAGAGCUAGAGUACGUUCGGGGCAGAGGGAAUUCCUGGUGUAGCGGUGAAAUGCGUAGAGAUCAGGAAGAACACCGGUGGCGAAAGCGCUCUGCUAGGCCGUAACUGACACUGAGGACGAAAGCUAGGGGAGCGAAUGGGAUUAGAUACCCCAGUAGUCCUAGCCGUAAACGAUGGAUACUAGGCGUGGCUUGUAUCGACCCGAGCCGUGCCGGAGCCAACGCGUUAAGUAUCCCGCCUGGGGAGUACGCACGCAAGUGUGAAACUCAAAGGAAUUGACGGGGGCCCGCACAAGCGGUGGAGUAUGUGGUUUAAUUCGAUGCAACGCGAAGAACCUUACCAAGACUUGACAUGUCGCGAAUCUUCUUGAAAGGGAAGAGUGCCUUAGGGAGCGCGAACACAGGUGGUGCAUGGCUGUCGUCAGCUCGUGUCGUGAGAUGUUGGGUUAAGUCCCGCAACGAGCGCAACCCUCGUUUUUAGUUGCCAGCAUUAAGUUGGGCACUCUAGAGAGACUGCCGGUGACAAACCGGAGGAAGGUGGGGAUGACGUCAAGUCAGCAUGCCCCUUACGUCUUGGGCUACACACGUACUACAAUGCUACGGACAGAGGGCAGCAAGCUAGCGAUAGCAAGCAAAUCCCGUAAACCGUAGCUCAGUUCAGAUCGCAGGCUGCAACUCGCCUGCGUGAAGGAGGAAUCGCUAGUAAUUGCAGGUCAGCAUACUGCAGUGAAUUCGUUCCCGGGCCUUGUACACACCGCCCGUCACACCAUGGAAGCUGGCAACGCCCGAAGUCAUUACUCCAACCAUUCCUGGGGGAGGAUGCCUAAGGCAGUAC